rnacentral:rRNA from 1 species
CUGCGGUGCAUUAGCUAGUUGGUAAGGUAACGGCUUACCAAGGCAAUGAUGCAUAGCCGAGUUGAGAGACUGAUCGGCCACAUUGGGACUGAGACACGGCCCAAACUCCUACGGGAGGCAGCAGUAGGGAAUCUUCCACAAUGGACGAAAGUCUGAUGGAGCAACGCCGCGUGAGUGAAGAAGGGUUUCGGCUCGUAAAGCUCUGUUGGUAGUGAAGAAAGAUAGAGGUAGUAACUGGCCUUUAUUUGACGGUAAUUACUUAGAAAGUCACGGCUAACUACGUGCCAGCAGCCGCGGUAAUACGUAGGUGGCAAGCGUUGUCCGGAUUUAUUGGGCGUAAAGCGAGUGCAGGCGGUUCAAUAAGUCUGAUGUGAAAGCCUUCGGCUCAACCGGAGAAUUGCAUCAGAAACUGUUGAACUUGAGUGCAGAAGAGGAGAGUGGAACUCCAUGUGUAGCGGUGGAAUGCGUAGAUAUAUGGAAGAACACCAGUGGCGAAGGCGGCUCUCUGGUCUGCAACUGACGCUAAGGCUCGAAAGCAUGGGUAGCGAACAGGAUUAGAUACCCUGGUAGUCCAUGCCGUAAACGAUGAGUGCUAAGUGUUGGGAGGUUUCCGCCUCUCAGUGCUGCAGCUAACGC